GGAGCGUUACCCAAGCGGCUGAAGGGGCGGGUUUGCUAAACCUGUAGGGGGUCGUAAGAUCCCGCGAGAGUUCAAAUCUCUCACGCUCCGCCA
rnacentral:tRNA from 1 species